GCAUGCGCGGUGCUAAGGGCUGGCAUGGCGGUUGCGGGCGUUCGCCGAGGUUCGCUCCGGGUCGCGGCCCGGCGAUAUCCACACACACACCCCCCCCCCCCCCCCCCCCCCCCGCCCCGGUACGGAGCCCUUGCCGCCCGUCCUUCAGUGCCACCGGGCGCGGGAGCCGCCGCCCCGCCGCGGAACAGCGAGGUUGGAGCGGUCCCGGGCCUCCUGCCAGGCCAGCGCUGCCUGAGGGGACUGGGGGGGGGGGGGGGCGGCGGCGGCGGCGCAGCUGAGCACCCGCGCGGUGUGGGGGAUCCCUGCGUGGAACCAGGCGACUCCGCAAGCUGCUAGGGGACAGUUGGCAGCAAACGUCUGCCUGCCUGCCGGUUGGGCCCAUCGGGGACGGUCGCUUCCCGGGCAUGGGUCUGUGGUGAUGCUCGGCUUCUGUUAGAGCCUCAGAGAAAGCAGAGCUCAGCUGAUGCUGGACAAAGAGGGAUCGUCUCUCUGUGAAGCUGCUGCACGUAUUUGCUGGCUGCUCCCCAAAACUCUCAGGAGAAUCCAGAAAUGGGAACUGAUGUUCACAGUGCUAAAUAAAGGUGCAGGAUUUCAUUUGCAGUCUUGAAUGCUGCAUCGCUGCUCUCGGCUCUGCUUCCUGCCGCCAGCUGCCAGGACUAAUCACUUAUGGAGCUGAACCCUCUCUAAGGCCUUUGCAGGAGAGCAGGGCUGGUCAGGGAGGGGGAGGAGGAGCUUCUGCCAGCACCAGGUCUGGUACCGGAGCCUUGAAACUCCCCGCUGUGUGCCCGUGUCCCUGCAGGUGUCAGAGCUGCCCGGGCUGAGCCGGAGCCCCGUAUGCAAUCAGUGAGUUGUUGGGAAAAUGUUGCAAUGCAGUGCUGCUGCACAAGCUGUUCUAUCAGCUCUGUCCCCUGUAUGGCCCCAGC